CGGGGGGAAGGAAGAUUGAAUAAUCUUUUGAUACAUUCAUCUUUAUUCAAAUGUGCAUAUUCACAUACACAGGGCAUGGUGCAUGGUAAGCUUGGAAACCCACCGACAGCUCCGGCCCCCUCACAGAACAAGGAGACUGCAAGCCAGGCCCUCUGGGACACAGCCCUGCACCAAACACAUGCUUUGCAAAACUCGAAUACUUCAUUGCCAGUCUGCUCACACAGAUGGAGAUUUCCGCUCAGAAGCAGCAAACAUCAAAAUAUUGUCAGCGCCCGCCUGGUGCAGUCAGCAGCCAACCAACCCUCUCAAUGCUGCAGAAGGGAGAAACCCCUGAGGACACCCCUGAACAGAGCAGGAGGUGGUGGCAGCAAUGAGGACCGCUUCUUUGUCCUGCCAUCUUGGAGAAGUGAAGUGCAGGUUGUAGGAGAGGCUUCCGGGAGUAGCUCAGAUUCAGACUUGCCAGUUCUGGAGGUCCCUGUUGGGCACAGCCAUUUAUAAGCCCCAGAGUAUUCCAGGAAAAGGUUUCCUUCCUCCGUCCUGAAAGCCUCCAAAGAUACCACCCUCCCACAUCAGCAGCAUUCACAGUCCAAGAAGGAACAGAACAUCUGCCUUGGUGGACCAGUGCCCUGAGAAAACUAUUCAGCAAGGGGGUGCAACAGCUAGAGUGACUCCCGUUUCGGCUCCCUUCCACUUCACCCCACCCGCCGCAUGCUUUACCUGAGUCUCCGUUGGAGGGUCGCUUGUCUUCUGAGCCAGCAGUACCGGAUGAGAUAGGCUAGCGCCACCACAACAAGGGCCACGAGCAGAACACCCCCAAUGACGGCUCCCAACACCACGCCAU